rnacentral:rRNA from 2 species
AGUGGAAGCGUCUGGAAAGGCGCGCGAUACAGGGUGACAGCCCCGUACACAAAAGCGCAUGUGCUGUGAGCUCGAUGAGUAGGGCGGGACACGUGGUAUCCUGUCUGAAUAUGGGGGGACCAUCCUCCAAGGCUAAAUACUCCUGACUGACCGAUAGUGAACCAGUACCGUGAGGGAAAGGCGAAAAGAACCCCGGCGAGGGGAGUGAAAAAGAACCUGAAACCGUGUACGUACAAGCAGUGGGAGCCCCACCACCAAAGCAUUCUCUGGUGUUGAAGGCCCUGCAAAGCAGCAUCGCGGUGGCGGAGCGUCGUUUGCGACGCCCAACACACAAAACAAGCGGUGAAUGCUUUGGGGUGGGGUGACUGCGUACCUUUUGUAUAAUGGGUCAGCGACUUAUAUUCUGUAGCAAGGUUAACCGAAUAGGGGAGCCGGAGGGAAACCGAGUCUUAAUUGGGCGUUAAGUUGCAGGGUA